GACGAACGCUGGCGGCGUGCUUAACACAUGCAAGUCGAACGGAAAGGCCCUGCUUUUGUGGGGUGCUCGAGUGGCGAACGGGUGAGUAACACGUGAGUAACCUGCCCUUGACUUUGGGAUAACUUCAGGAAACUGGGGCUAAUACCGGAUAGGAGCUCCUGCUGCAUGGUGGGGGUUGGAAAGUUUCGGCGGUUGGGGAUGGACUCGCGGCUUAUCAGCUUGUUGGUGGGGUAGUUGCUUACCAAGGCUUUGACGGGUAGCCGGCCUGAGAGGGUGACCGGCCACAUUGGGACUGAGAUACGGCCCAGACUCCUACGGGAGGCAGCAGUGGGGAAUAUGGCACAGUGGGCGGAAGCCUGAUGCAGCGGCGCCGCGUGCGUGAUGACGGCCUUCGGGUUGUAAACCGCUUUCGCCUGUGACGAAGCGUGAGUGACGGUAAUGGGUAAAGAAGCACCGGCUAACUACGUG
rnacentral:rRNA from 1 species